GAUGAACGCUGGCGGCGUGCCUAAUACAUGCAAGUCGAGCGAACAGACGAGGAGCUUGCUCCUCUGACGUUAGCGGCGGACGGGUGAGUAACACGUGGAUAACCUACCUAUAAGACUGGGAUAACUUCGGGAAACCGGAGCUAAUACCGGAUAAUAUAUUGAACCGCAUGGUUCAAUAGUGAAAGACGGUUUUGCUGUCACUUAUAGAUGGAUCCGCGCCGCAUUAGCUAGUUGGUAAGGUAACGGCUUACCAAGGCAACGAUGCGUAGCCGACCUGAGAGGGUGAUCGGCCACGCUGGAACUGAAACACGGUCCAGACUCCUACGGGAGGCAGCAGUAGGGAAUCUUCCGCAAUGGGCGAAAGCCUGACGGAGCAACGCCGCGUGAGUGAUGAAGGUCUUCGGAUCGUAAAACUCUGUUAUUAGGGAAGAACAAAUGUGUAAGUAACUAUGCACGUCUUGACGGUACCUAAUCAGAAAGCCACGGCUAACUACGU
rnacentral:rRNA from 1 species